GUUCUGCGAGCCUCUUUUCUUAGUGUUUGCUCCUUGAGAUUCUCUGCGUUGUUUAUUAAAAUACUGUUCUUCUGUCCAGUUCAUCGGCUGUCUCCGGCGUUUGGCUCCACCAACAUACCCAGUCCUGCUGGAGGAUGGGUCUUGUGGAGAAAACCAGUUCCCAGACCUGUUCGAAUAUAGAUCAUUCGAUCAGCACAGCAGCAAUGACAGUGGGAGUGGUCCAUUGAUUCAUGCCUCCCCAGGUGGCGGAGUUGGUUGUACAGAAGUAUCAAACACUAACAGGUUACUUCAUUUCCCCUGCCUAUGGGACUCAUCGCUGAAAAAUGCCAUUCUGGUGAGCUUGCAGACUGCAUGUGGGAGCAGAGAAAAAGCACCUGGCUGAGAGAACAUCCCCAUUUCCUUGAUGAUAUUCCCACAAUUCGGAUGCGUCGGUGGGAUAUGGUGCAGGGAAGGAUCAUUCACACGUGCAAACCACCAGUACAUCAGUUUGGGAGCGAAACACAGUUUUAUUUGAAAGGAUAGGUGGAGGAGAGAGGAUGUUUAAACAUUUGUGAAGGUUUUAUUGGCUAAAAUUUUAAUGCACACCGCUAGUGCAGGAUGAUGUCACCAUUUAUGAUAGAAGUAGAAGUCAUGUGAGGUCGUUUCAUGGGGAAUUUAAAGUUGGUUAAAAUAAAAUAUACCCUACAGGGAAGUAAGUCCAAACUCUAUGAGAUAUGGCUUGAGGAUAUAGGCGACUGGGAUGACCAAACCUAGAGAAUAGGUUGUGCCUCUGGUCUUCUCUUUAUGCAAUAGGAUUAUUACUGUAGGUGUAGCUCCCUUUGAAUGAGGUGCACUUUAUAAUGUAUAAUGUUUGUCUAUUUUUAUAUGUCUUUGUGAUUUGA